rnacentral:rRNA from 1 species
GAUGAACGCUGGCGGCGUGCUUAACACAUGCAAGUCGAGCGAAGCACUUUAUUUGAUUUCCUUCGGGACUGAUUAUUUUGUGACUGAGUGGCGGACGGGUGAGUAACGCGUGGGUAACCUGCCUUGUACAGGGGGAUAACAGUUGGAAACGGCUGCUAAUACCGCAUAAGCGCACGGCAUCGCAUGAUGCAGUGUGAAAAACUCCGGUGGUAUAAGAUGGACCCGCGUUGGAUUAGCUAGUUGGUGAGGUAACGGCCCACCAAGGCGACGAUCCAUAGCCGACCUGAGAGGGUGACCGGCCACAUUGGGACUGAGACACGGCCCAAACUCCUACGGGAGGCAGCAGUGGGGAAUAUUGCACAAUGGGCGAAAGCCUGAUGCAGCGACGCCGCGUGAGCGAAGAAGUAUUUCGGUAUGUAAAGCUCUAUCAGCAGGGAAGAUAAUGACGGUACCUGACUAAGAAGCACCG